rnacentral:rRNA from 1 species
GGACUCGGGGGGAAGUAUGCUCGCAAGAGUGAAACUUAAAGGAAUUGACGGAAGGGCACCACCAGAUGUGGAGCCUGCGGCUUAAUUUGACUCAACACGGGAAAACUUACCAGGUCCAGACAUAGUCAGGAUUGACAGAUUGAAGUUCUUUCAUGAUUCUAUGCAUAGUGGUGCAUGGCCGUUCUUAGUUGGUGGAAUGAUCUGUCAGGUUAAUUCCGAUAACGAACGAGACCCCAGCCAUCUAAAUAGCUGUCACUACACUUAGUUGUGGUGUGUGCGUAAGCACGAACAGCUUCUUAGAGGGACUAUCUGUGUCAACAGGUGGAAGUGUGGGGCAAUAACAGGUCAGUGAUGCCCUUAGAUGCUCUGGGCUGCACGCGCGCUACAAUGGUGCAUUCAGCGAGGCAACCUGGCUUGAGAAGGCUGGGUAAACUUAAAAGUGCAUCUCAGUUGGGAUAGAUGAUUGCAAUUAUUCAUCUUGAACAAGGAAUAUCUAGUAAACGCAAGUCAUCAACUUGCAUUGAUUACGUCCCUGCCCUUUGUACACACCGCCCGUCGCUCCUACCGAUUGAAUAAUCCGGUGAAUUGAGUGGGUUGGAAACACGUGCUUUCUAUUUAUUUAUGCUGUGCGAGUGUCCAAGAGCUUUGUGAACCUUAUCAUUUAGAGGACGGAGAAGUCGAAGGGCGAAUUCCACAUUGGG